AGUGAGACAUCAGUUCCCCUACGACCACCGAAGUUAAGCAACGUCAAGCCUAGUCAGUGCCACGAUAGGUGACCGCUUAGGAAUACCAGGUGCUGUAC